rnacentral:rRNA from 1 species
AUUGAACGCUGGCGGCAUGCCUUACACAUGCAAGUCGAACGGCAACAGGUCUUCGGAUGCUGACGAGUGGCGAACGGGUGAGUAAUACAUCGGAACGUACCCGAUCGUGGGGGAUAACGAAGCGAAAGCUUUGCUAAUACCGCAUAAGAUCUACGGAUGAAAGCAGGGGACCGCAAGGCCUUGCGCGAACGGAGCGGCCGAUGGCAGAUUAGGUAGUUGGUGGGAUAAAAGCUUACCAAGCCGACGAUCUGUAGCUAGUCUGAGAGGACGACCAGCCACACUGGGACUGAGACACGGCCCAGACUCCUACGGGAGGCAGCAGUGGGGAAUUUUGGACAAUGGGCGAAAGCCUGAUCCAGCCAUGCCGCGUGCAGGAUGAAGGCCUUCGGGUUGUAAACUGCUUUUGUACGGAACGAAAAGACUCUUUCUAAUAAAGAGGGUCCAUGACGGUACCGUAAGAAUAAGCACCGGCUAACUACGUGCCAGCCGCCGCCGUAA